rnacentral:tRNA from 1 species
GCCGGUGUGAUGGAAUGGCAGACAUGGUAGACUCAAAAUCUACUGGUAGCAAUACCGUGCCGGUUCGAGUCCGGCCAUCGGUA